ACCUCUCAAUUUAUAAUAUCUCUCUCUGGUUUUAAAAAAAAAAAGCCUCUCUCUCUCUCUCUCUCAAACUGAGAUGCCGUUGCAGACCUCACGAGCUUACCGGCGACGACCUGGAGGCAUGGCACGACUCUCCCUAGCAAACCAAAUCGAUGCCAUUGCUCGCCGACGACGACCUAGAGGCAAGGCGAGACUGACAAACCGAUGCCGUUGCAUACCUCACAAUCGCUAGUGACGACUUGGAGACAUGGCGCGAUCUACACAACAAAGUCGUCAUGGUCUCCGGCUCUUCGACGAGGCCCUCCACCGCCGCCAUCGCCUCUUCCUCCACCUCACCUGCAUCAGAACCCUAAACGAGCAUUGAUUCUCCGGCGACGACGACAAGGCCCGCGACCUCUUCAUCUCUAAUCGAAAAUCCCCAACCGGAAAGUCUCUCUGGCUCUUCGUCAUGUCCUACAGGUCGGAAGAUAUGAGUGAUGUCGAUUGGGAGCUCAUAGCUGAGGAGCAUGAAUGAUGUGAAUAUAUCUCUUUAGAUGAAGGUUUGGGGAGUUUUUGCUGAAGUCAAUGAAAAGGGCCUUGUAAUUAGUCUUCCAGGGGUCUUGUCGACAUAUCUUCUGAUGCUUUUGAUCUUAUUUUGGAUGAUGAAACUAAGUUUUGAAAUACUCCGAAGUCUCAUAUGUGAUGCGGGAAGUAAAAGUGAGAAGAAGAGAGCAAAUUGAGACAAAAGAAAAUGCUGGAUAAGGAAUGCAGUAUGAAGUAACUUUUAGUGUUGGAGGUUGCCGGAAAUUUCAUCAGAGUAGCUUUUGUUGCUAGCCACAGUAGCUUUUGUUGCUAGCCACAGUAGCUUUUGGUGUUAGUGACAGUAGCUUUUGUGGUCGCCGAAGUUUGCCGGAGGUUGGCCGGAGACCCGCCGGAAGUUGGCCGGAAGUCGACCGGAGACCCGCCGGAGGUCUGUCGGAGUUGACCGGAGACCUCGCCGGAGAGGAGAGAGAGAAUGGUUGUUGACUUUUUACUGUAGUGGUAUUUAUGUAAAUAUAUUAGUUUUUAUGUUCAAAAUAUAACACCAUUUUUAAUUUAGUAGCCUUAUGAGGGAAAAAAUUAGUUGGUGACCUUAUGACUAAAAAAACAUUUAAAGAUGCACUUAUAUGUAAUUAACUCUUAAAACUUCCUGUCUAGUUGUUUCAC